UACGUAGGGGGCAAGCGUUGUCCGGAUUUAUUGGGCGUAAAGAGCUCGUAGGUGGUUCGGUAAGUCGGAUGUGAAAUCUCCAGGCUCAACCUGGAGGGGUCAUUCGAUACUGCCGUGACUAGAGUUCGGUAGGGGAGUGUGGAAUUCCUGGUGGAGCGGUGAAAUGCGCAGAUAUCAGGAGGAACACCGGUGGCGAAGGCGGCAUCCUGGACCGACACUGACGCUGAGGCGCGAAAGCUAGGGGAGCAAACGGG
rnacentral:rRNA from 1 species